AAUGCGAUAAAUUUAUAAUUUAAGGUUAUACUUAUUUUAUAUUCGAUAUUAAUUGACGAUAAUCAGAGGAAAUAAAUAAAACAAAAAAUAUUCAGUGUAAUAACUUCUUGCAAUAGAGGAAGAGGCAGAGGUAAUAGAGGCAGGAGGAGCAGAAAGUGAAACACCUCUUACUCCUGUGGAGACAGAGAAGCCUCUUGCUCCACCUAAAUAUGAAGUGCGACCUGGUCUUGGAGAAAAAUUUCAGGCCCAAAAUG